GCGCUGCUGGGGUGGCCGACCUGAGAGGGCGGUUCAGCGUGUCGAGACCGUGCACGCCAAGCCUUCGCUUGGCCCUUCUUUCUUUCCUUUUGGAGGAAAGCGGUAGCGCAAGAGUCGUCAUUUCUGCAACCGACUUCCAUCCAGGAUCGGAGGAGAAACAAGCCUUGGCACGAGGAUGACUUCUAAAAUUGAGGAACUACAUCAGUACCUCAUUAGGCAUCAUCAGAAAAGGCUGGAAGCUGCGACUUAGUUGCUUGCUCGUUACAGUGAAGAAUUACUGCCUGCCCGCUGUAUGGACAAUCCCACUGCCUGACUUGGCUCAGUUCCCCUGCAGUCAGUGUAAAAGUCGUGGUAACUUCACUGGGUGCAGGAUUAAGCACGAGUACAGGGGUGCAGAUGUUGCUUUUUUCUUGCAGAUAUGCACACACAGUGAUUCUGAGCAGUCAGAAAAUCUGUGCAAGUGCGAAGCAGUGCGACAUACAGUAGCAUCCUUUAUGCUUUUUCAGGAACUAAGCUGUGUAGCCUCGCAGAACCACAUGCCUCAAAGCAUUUACAGCUGUGAUCUGACUGCCAGAGUUUUUUUGAUAGGAGUGCUGAGAUGCUUAUUUAUGUAUUGAGCUACAGUAGGACCAAACAUUUCCAGUGCCCUGUAAAUACCUGUAGGACAGUCUUAGAAGAAGAAAAUUUCGGAUUUCGGGAAAUACAGAAGGCACAGCUAGCAUCUUGCUGUUGGCUGAAGCUGAAUAACAAAGCUUAGCUAGAGAAAUUGAACUUUUGGGGUAGAAAUGAAUCGACUGAUAACCAGUGCCUCAUAGCCCAGGCAUAAGAAGACAUUUCAACUGGGGAGUUAAGUGGUAGUUAAAUAUCUGGCUUAUCUUUGAAAAAAAAUUUUCACUCUUUAAGGGUUAAGGUAAUAAUAUAUGGAGAGCUGGGCUGGUAUCCCCAUUUUAGGAAAUGAUCUGUAGUAUUAAUCAUAGGCCAUAAUCCCAUUUUGAGAAUUCAUAUCAAAUCCCCUGGUGAGGGGGAGAAGGGACAGAGUUACAUGUCACUGGCUACAAAUUUAGGAAGUGCUUCGGUGUUUGUUGUCUGCAGUGCUUAUCUCUGUGUUCAGCCAGCCCCUCUGGUGUACAUCCAUCUUUUGGUAGAUGUUCGAUAGGAGAGGUUUUCUGCAUUUGAGGAGAUCGGUUUUCACUGCUGCGCCCAGGAGAGGGUGCUCUCUAAGCGUGUACUGCAGACUCAUUUCUGCACGGGAAGCUCACUGUGAACGUCAGAGUGGGGCAUUUCUGUGCAACAUAACACCAUGUAGGUCCUAAUGUACCUCCUGUCACGUCAGUUAGUGUUUGCUCUUAUUUGUCAUAAAACUAGUAUUUACUGCUGCAACGUUAAGGCAAAGCCAGUGUGAUAAUGCAUAGAGAUCAUUAUAGUUCUGCUGGAUCUACUCUUGCUGAGAACUUGGCACUGGGCUUAACGGUUGGGUUGAAUGCAUAUCUGAAGACCAGCUCAAAAAAACUGCUUGGAGUUAGGUUUCAGCGUCUUGCACAUGGUCUGGGUAUUGUAGGUGAUUCGUUGUUCUUGAGGAACUAGUCUCGUUUCAUGUAAGCUAAAAUGCUAUAUAUACGAGGAGAAUAAUGACUUUAAAAACACAAUUAGCUUAGAGAAUAGACCAAUGAAUAACAAUUCCAUUCAGAGACUGGACAUCCAGCCAAUUUGCAAAGUGCCAAAGUCUGAAUCUUCAUGCUGCAUGCUGGAAUUGUCUUUUUUUGAAGUUUGUUCAGUCAGAAGAAGAUACUUUGGAUAAACAGCGUUCUGCAUGUUAAUAAUAUAUAAAUCAUAAAACUAUCUCAGCUCCAGGGCUAGGAAUUUGAAGGUUUGGAGAAUUGACUUCUUAGGGAUGAGAGUAAGUGAUCACUAAAAACCCACGUAAGUUAUGAUUGUCAUUUGUGGGAGGAAAAAGAAGGCAACUUGUGACUAUCACGCAAGAGUCUCAGAAGUCUUUAGGGCUGCCCUAAUCCAUAGAGUGUGCUUCAGCUGUGCCACAAAGCAAAGAGAAAUUUCUAAAGGAUGGAUCUGUUGCCAAGGUAGAUGGUCCUGUUUUGUGAUUGACCCAUUGCCACAAGGUUAGCUGGAUCACUUCGAAUACAAACAGGAAGCAAUUUCUUACCAUAUUGUUUUUCAAAGUGUAAUACCUUCUGUUAUGUUUCUUCACCUUGAACCAAGUACACGUACAAGCCAUAGACCUCCUGAGCAUAUUGAAUAAAUGGAGGACUAAUUCAACUCCAGCAGUGAGGAGAGGCUGGUUUCACUGACCUCUGUGAAACUCACCUAGCUAUCAAAACCAAGACGCUGCUGUUAGAUUCAGGUCCCGGACAUCCUGAAUUUGGGCUGCUUUACUAUUGGUUGCAUCAUCCCACUUCUGCCCAAAGAUAGGUAUUUGAGAAAAUUAAAAUGGUGAAGUCACUUUUUUGUGGUGCCUGUUCCUUCUGCUGACUUCUUUCAAUUGCAAAUAUGGUGGCAACAUAGAUGCAAAGUGUCAGUGCCUCUGACUGUAUUGUUUAUUUCUAAAUCUGUUCCUGUUUAGCUGCUUUUGAGUUUUUUGAUCAAAGAUCUACAAUUUCGAAACACACCAAACACAGCCAUGCUCUAAGACAGGUGCUAUAAUCUAGGCUGAUUUUGCUGAGUGGCUGUCUCAGCCUUUUUGCUUUUCCAUUUGGGGGAAUUUCUUGGCCUUAUUCAAAGCUGCCGGUGUUGCUGAUGUAUGAAUGGAGAGAAAGAUGAUAGAAAUGAAAAUUAUUUGCUCUAUCUUUUCCCUUUCUGCUUUGUUCAUCUAGUUCUUGUGGAAUGAGUCACAAGGAGAGGGCACGUACAGAAGAAGGAGAAAGAACACUUGCAUCAGCUAAGAUUCCAUGAUUUCUAUCAGCUGGGACAACUGUGGCCUCAGCUCCAGUCAUCCUGGAACACACUCUAGAGGUGGCCACCCUGAGCGUCUCCUUGGUGUCCCACAGCUCAGAACUGUUGUUUGAGCUCUGCUAGUUCACUGCAGUGGCAAUGAGCCAGAAGAAUACAUUUAUGUCAUAUCCUUCAGGGAAACACAAACUGCUUAAAAGCUGCCUAAAAUGUACCAUGACAUCACUUGCGGACCUCCCAGAAUUGCCCAGAAGGAGGAAAAGUCAGCAUUCUCAGCCCGCCCCCGGAGUGAUUCCAGGAGAUUCAGACCCUAUAAGGCAGUGAAGCUCUGUGAGCAGCAAAGAUAGAGUUUUGAAAGAUUUCUUGUUCUUGGCAACGUGGGAAUUUCACAAACAGGAAAAACUGCUUUUACUUUUCCUAAAGAGGAACCAUUUAUGCCUAUGGUGCAUUGAUGCCUGGAACUGGGCUUGCUUUAAAGUAGAGCGGAAAUGUAAGAAAUGCUCUUAGCAGAGGACAAGCAGAGCCCACUGGGUGCUCACAAAACAGAGAUGACUUAAUGCUGACUGACAUCUUGAAGCCUGUUGUAAUCCCAUUUUCCCUUCCCAUGAUUCUACAAGAGGAAACAAGAAAGCUUCCUGCAGGGAAAAAAUGGUUCUGCUGUGCAGUUUUAACCUUGCUGGUGUGAAUCCUGAGGAAACAUGCAGCGUGGGUGUGAGAUGAGGGAAACGCUAUCAUUACAGCUGCCAAAAGCAAAACAAGACCUACGAUGUUUCCUAGCUCUUUGUGUAUCAACUCAAGCAGAAUGCAGAAAGAUGUCACAGUGGAGGAGGAUCAACACAACACAUUACUGCUGUGUCAUUACUCAACUCCUGGAGAACACAAUGGAAAACUUCUGAUUAAUGACUUGGAGAGUCGGAGUUAUGUUCAAAGUCCCAAAUGAGAUGAAAUGCCUCCUUUGAAACCCUGUGAAAAUGCUGGAACAUGAUUCUGUCCAUCAGUGGCUCCCUCCCAGAGAUACCACAGGAAACUUUGGAGUGGUCCUCAGACUAUUUUCAUCCAUGGAUUUGACAGCUCACUAAUAUCAUAUCAUUAUGGUGAUGGCCUCUGAGGAGGCUUGAGGACCAGGAGUGGUGUGUCUGCCAAACUGUGGGAAGCCACAGCCCCUUUGGUUAUGCUUUUCAAAUACCCGAAGCCGGUGGAGUGCUUUAUAGCAAAACAGGCAGCUAUAAGAACGUUGUACAUGACAGCACGCUCAAUGAAUGUGCUCAUGAGUCAGAGACCAUCGACUUACCACGGCACCUCUGAGCUGCACCCAGUGCACAUGAUUCAGACUAAAUAAAAGACAAAAGGAUCUAUCGCACACCACUGCCAUCUUCUUAUUCUGAAAAGUGCAAUCGCCCGUAACACACACGGCUAAUGUUUAAAAUAAUGCUUUCAGUAAGGACCAGGACUCCCAGUGACAUCAGAUACGCAAACGAACUUCAGAACCCGGGGCUUUCCCGGUUUCUCGGGCACC